GGUUAAGCGACCAAGCGUACACGGUGGAUGCCCUGGCAGUCAGAGGCGAUGAAGGACGUGCUAAUCUGCGAAAAGCGCCGGCGAGGUGAUAUGAACCCUUGACCCGGCGAUGUCCGAAUGGGGAAACCCAGUGUGACUCGUCACACUAUCAUUAACUGAAUCCAUAGGUUAAUGAGGCGAACCGGGGGAACUGAAACAUCUAAGUACCCCGAGGAAAAGAAAUCAACCGAGAUUCCCCCAGUAGCGGCGAGCGAACGGGGAGGAGCCCAGAGCCUGAAUCAGCAGGUGUGUUAGUGGAAGUGUCUGGAAAGGCGCGCGAUACAGGGUGAGAGCCCCGUACACGAAAAUGCACCUGCUGUGAGCUCGAUGAGUAGGGCGGGACACGUGGUAUCCUGUCUGAAUAUGGGGGGACCAUCCUCCAAGGCUAAAUACUCCUGACUGACCGAUAGUGAACCAGUACCGUGAGGGAAAGGCGAAAAGAACCCCGGCGAGGGGAGUGAAAAAGAACCUGAAACCGUGUACGUACAAGCAGUGGGAGCACAGGUUUACCUGUGUGACUGCGUACCUUUUGUAUAAUGGGUCAGCGACUUAUAUUCUGUAGCAAGGUUAACCGAAUAGGGGAGCCGGAGGGAAACCGAGUCUUAACCGGGCGUUAAGUUGCAGGGUAUAGACCCGAAACCCGGUGAUCUAGCCAUGGGCAGGUUGAAGGUUGGGUAACACUAACUGGAGGACCGAACCGACUAAUGUUGAAAAAUUAGCGGAUGACCUGUGGCUGGGGGUGAAAGGCCAAUCAAACCGGGAGAUAGCUGGUUCUCCCCGAAAGCUAUUUAGGUAGCGCCUCGUGAACUCAUCUCCGGGGGUAGAGCACUGUUUCGGCUAGGGGGCCAUCCCGGCUUACCAACCCGAUGCAAACUGCGAAUACCGGAGAAUGUUAUCACGGGAGACACACGGCGGGUGCUAACGUCCGUCGUGAAGAGGGAAACAACCCAGACCGCCAGCUAAGGUCCCAAAGUCAUGGUUAAGUGGGAAACGAUGUGGGAAGGCCCAGACAGCCAGGAUGUUGGCUUAGAAGCAGCCAUCAUUUAAAGAAAGCGUAAUAGCUCACUGGUCGAGUCGGCCUGCGCGGAAGAUGUAACGGGGCUAAACCAUGCACCGAAGCUGCGGCAGCGGCACGCAAGUGUUGUUGGGUAGGGGAGCGUUCUGUAAGCCGUUGAAGGUGUGCUGUGAGGCAUGCUGGAGGUAUCAGAAGUGCGAAUGCUGACAUAAGUAACGAUAAAGCGGGUGAAAAGCCCGCUCGCCGGAAGACCAAGGGUUCCUGUCCAACGUUAAUCGGGGCAGGGUGAGUCGACCCCUAAGGCGAGGCCGAAAGGCGUAGUCGAUGGGAAACGGGUUAAUAUUCCCGUACUUGGUGUUACUGCGAAGGGGGGACGGAGAAGGCUAUGUUGGCCGGGCGACGGUUGUCCCGGUUUAAGCGUGUAGGUGUGUGUUCCAGGUAAAUCCGGUUCACUUUAACACUGAGGCGUGACGACGAGGCACCACGGUGCUGAAGCAACAAAUGCCCUGCUUCCAGGAAAAGCCUCUAAGCGUCAGGUAACAUCAAAUCGUACCCCAAACCGACACAGGUGGUCAGGUAGAGAAUACCAAGGCGCUUGAGAGAACUCGGGUGAAGGAACUAGGCAAAAUGGUGCCGUAACUUCGGGAGAAGGCACGCUGACACGUAGGUGAAGCGGUUUACCCGUGGAGCUGAAGUCAGUCGAAGAUACCAGCUGGCUGCAACUGUUUAUUAAAAACACAGCACUGUGCAAACACGAAAGUGGACGUAUACGGUGUGACGCCUGCCCGGUGCCGGAAGGUUAAUUGAUGGGGUCAGCGCAAGCGAAGCUCCUGAUCGAAGCCCCGGUAAACGGCGGCCGUAACUAUAACGGUCCUAAGGUAGCGAAAUUCCUUGUCGGGUAAGUUCCGACCUGCACGAAUGGCGUAAUGAUGGCCAGGCUGUCUCCACCCGAGACUCAGUGAAAUUGAACUCGCUGUGAAGAUGCAGUGUACCCGCGGCAAGACGGAAAGACCCCGUGAACCUUUACUAUAGCUUGACACUGAACACUGGUCCUUGAUGUGCAGGAUAGGUGGGAGGCUUUGAAGCGUGGACGCCAGUCUGCGUGGAGCCGUCCUUGAAAUACCACCCUUUAAUGGCUGGUGUUCUAACGUGGGCCCCUGACCGGGGUUGCGGACAGUGUCUGGUGGGUAGUUUGACUGGGGCGGUCUCCUCCCAAAGAGUAACGGAGGAGCACGAAGGUUGGCUAAUCCUGGUCGGACAUCAGGAGGUUAGUGCAAUGGCAUAAGCCAGCUUGACUGCGAGCGUGACGGCGCGAGCAGGUGCGAAAGCAGGUCAUAGUGAUCCGGUGGUUCUGAAUGGAAGGGCCAUCGCUCAACGGAUAAAAGGUACUCCGGGGAUAACAGGCUGAUACCGCCCAAGAGUUCAUAUCGACGGCGGUGUUUGGCACCUCGAUGUCGGCUCAUCACAUCCUGGGGCUGAAGUAGGUCCCAAGGGUAUGGCUGUUCGCCAUUUAAAGUGGUACGCGAGCUGGGUUUAGAACGUCGUGAGACAGUUCGGUCCCUAUCUGCCGUGGGCGCUGGAGAAUUGAGGGGGGCUGCUCCUAGUACGAGAGGACCGGAGUGGACGCAUCACUGGUGUUCGGGUUGUCAUGCCAAUGGCACUGCCCGGUAGCUAAAUGCGGAAGAGAUAAGUGCUGAAAGCAUCUAAGCACGAAACUUGCCCCGAGAUGAGUUCUCCCUGAGACUUUGAGUCUCCUGAAGGAACGUUGAAGACGACGACGUUGAUAGGCCGGGUGUGUAAGCGCAGCGAUGCGUUGAGCUAACCGGUACUAAUGAACCGUGAGGCUUAACCUU
rnacentral:rRNA from 1 species